AACGAACGCUGGCGGCAGGCUUAACACAUGCAAGUCGAACGCCGUAGCAAUACGGAGUGGCAGACGGGUGAGUAACGCGUGGGAACAUGCCCUUCGGUUCGGAAUAACUCAGGGAAACUUGAGCUAAUACCGGAUACGUCCAAGGCUUGCCUUGGAGAAAGAUUUAUCGCCGGAGGAUUGGCCCGCGUCUGAUUAGCUAGUUGGUGGGGUAAUGGCUCACCAAGGCGACGAUCAGUAGCUGGUCUGAGAGGAUGAUCAGCCACAUUGGGACUGAGACACGGCCCAAACUCGUACGGGAGGCAGCAGUGGGGAAUAUUGGACAAUGGGCGCAAGCCUGAUCCAGCCAUGCCGCGUGAGUGAUGAAGGCCCUAGGGUUGUAAAGCUCUUUUGCCCGGGAAGAUAAUGACGGUACCGGGAGAAUAAGCCCCGGCUAACUUCGUGCCAGCCGCCGCGGUAA
rnacentral:rRNA from 1 species